CUAUGCUUAGCCCUAAACAUCGAUAGCGCACUACACCUGCUAUCCGCCUGGGAACUACGAGCAUCAGCUUGAAACCCAAAGGACUUGGCGGUGCUUUAGAUCCA
rnacentral:rRNA from 1 species